UACGUAGGGGGCGAGCGUUGUCCGGAUUCAUUGGGCGUAAAGAGCUCGUAGGCGGCUUGGUUAGUUGGGUGUGAAACCUCCAGGCUUAACCUGGAGACGCCACUCAAUACUGCCAUGGCUAGAGUCCGGUAGGGGACCACGGAAUUCCUGGUGUAGCGGUGAAAUGCGCAGAUAUCAGGAGGAACACCGGUGGCGAAGGCGGUGGUCUGGGCCGGCACUGACGCUGAUGCGCGAAAGCUAGGGGAGCAAACAGG
rnacentral:rRNA from 1 species